GUAAUUAUACUUUAAUAGCCAAAAACAUUUUUAUCAAGAUGUUUUUACAUAUUGUUUUAUUUUACACAGAAAUAGUGCACUAUUUAUAUUAGCGACUUUAUGAAAAGGUCAUUCGUGCUAUUUUGGAUGCAUUUAUUUGAUUAGAAUGAGUAAUUUUAAGAAUUUUGAUAAAUUACAAUUAAUGAAACGAUCAAUGAUUAUCUGAAACAUGAGGAGGAAACCAACGGAGGAUGUCUGCUUCGACAAGGCAGCAACGAAGAAAACUCAAGAAAAAGCGUCCGUUUCUAAAUACAAAGAAGAG